rnacentral:rRNA from 1 species
AACGAACGCUGGCGGCAUGCCUAACACGUGCAAGUCGAACGAGACCUUCGGGUCUAGUGGCGCACGGGUGCGUAACGCGUGGGAACCUGCCCUUAGGUUCGGAAUAACUCGCCGAAAGGGGUGCUAAUACCGGAUAAUGUCUUCGGACCAAAGAUUUAUCGCCUUUGGAUGGGCCCGCGUUGGAUUAGCUAGUUGGUAGGGUAAAAGCCUACCAAGGCGACGAUCCAUAGCUGGUCUGAGAGGAUGAUCAGCCACACUGGGACUGAGACACGGCCCAGACUCCUACGGGAGGCAGCAGUGGGGAAUAUUGGACAAUGGGCGAAAGCCUGAUCCAGCAAUGCCGCGUGAGUGAUGAAGGCCUUAGGGUUGUAAAGCUCUUUUACCCGGGAUGAUAAUGACAGUACCGGGAGAAUAAGCUCCGGCUAACUCCGUG